CCAGGAGGACAACAGCAGGAUAUCAGGUAAGCUGGGAUCUGAAGCGCUAGUAGUCAGGGUAGCCCUAGCGGUUGGAGCAGCGCUGGUAGUCAGAGCAGGGCUAACGGAUUGAGCAGCGCUAGCAGGUAAACGAAAUAGAAAGCGCAGAGCUAAAGACUUAUGUACGAAAGGACAGAAAAACAAUAAAUGGCGAAGAAUACAGACUGACCGAGCGGAGAGUAAAUGGGGCUGAUGAAUUGCGGAAGCAAAACAGAAACGAAUGGAGCAGGAUCGGAACACGUAGUCGAAGCCAGGUAAUCGCAGGACAUGCACACAUACUAAGGGUAUGAACCAGCAGUGAGUGAACAGAAAACAGGUGUAUAAAUACAGGACCGGAUGGGGCGAUAAUGAACAGCAGGUGAAUGGCAUGGAGACUGAUUGUCGUGGCAGAACAGCAGGGAACAGGACCGGGGGAUAAUGAGCACAGGUGCUAUGUGACCCCUCCACUUUAUAGUGGAGCUAUCCAAAAUGUGUCUUUUUGAAGUGGUAUUGGACUACAAAAGGGUUUCCUACCUUCCAGCAGUGCUCAAGCCAUCAUCACCUCUACCUCGACCAGUCCAGGAGUGAUCCCAGCGUUCGCAGCCCGGUCCAUUGUCAUCCACCAU